AGAUGCUGAAAGGAGCAAGGAGGCUCCUGCAGGACUGUAAGUCAUCAGGGGGAAGACUCAAGAAGCAGGAGAGAGAGAGACUGCAAAGGCCCUGCUGGAAAGGCCUGUGGAGAAGAACAAACUCUAGGCAGAAGAUGAUGGGAAGGAAAAGUCCCUCAGGGAGCUUCUGCCACCUGGGUUCUAAAGAGUAUAUGAGACAUCACUUUUCCACAACAAGGUGCCCACCAAGAUUAAUGACAUUAAUCACUAGCUGUAACAGCUAAUUCGUGGAAAGCAUCUGUGGAAAUGCUAGCCCACAACAGUGGAUUUGAAGCUGGACUAUUGCAAUUCUAUUUGCUGAGCUCAAGGAGGAGUAGUUAAUAUUGAUGUUGGUGAGAGGAGGAGCAAUACCAGUGUUCGUGGUGAGCUGUGGACCCGUCUGAAAAGACCAUAAACAUCCCAGCUGAUGGAAAAAUGGGUAUGGUUACAGUCUGGACAUGAUAUUUUUGUGUGUUAUUUCAGGAAAGAAAAGAACUCCACAUUUACAUCAUUGGAGUUCUGUACAGGUACAAGAGAUCCUGGUUACAUAGAACUUCUUGCAAAAUUGGGGCUUAAAACAAUCAAUGAGAGCCAAAUUGUCUUCUCAGAUAUACUGGUGAUUGUGUUUUAUAUUGUUAGUGUCUCUCUUUUUGAAAUAAGGGAUUCCCUGCAUGACUUGAGCUAUAGUAAUUCUAAUUUAAAGAGGAUUGCAAGAAAAGUAGUAGUCCAUUGUUAACAAUUAAUAAUAAUGUCAAGUUGUAUCUCUCUUUAUUAAAUGUGCUCUUAAUGAUGUACAGAAUGAGGGGGGAAAUCCAUAUUUAUUACAAAUAGUUAUAGCAUAUGCCUGGAAUCCUGCCAAUAUCUCACUAUGCAAACUGUCAAAUACAUCUUCCACAGCCUUUCCAAUCUUCUUCUCAAGCAUGAAAAAAACCCAACAUUUAACCAGAAUUCAAGGUGUGCUGUUAACAUCUUUGGAUGAGUCAAUAAUAAUUAGGCUUGGAAGGAUUAGAUUUCUAUUGGUAAAUGUUGAUUUCACUCUACACACACAAACCAACAAAAGAAAAAAGUUCCAUCAAUGAGGAUAAAAAUUUACAGAUAGAAAC